UCAGACGAUGCGUCAUGCAUAUCAAUAAGCGGAGGAAAAGAAACUAACAAGGAUUCCCCUAGUAACGGCGAGUGAAGCGGGAAGAGCUCAAAUUUGAAAUCUUAAAGGGUUUCCCUUUACGAAUUGUAGUUUAAAGAAGUGUUUUCUGUUGAGGUUUUGGUAAAAGUUCUUUGGAAUAGGACAUCAUAGAGGGUGAGAAUCCCGUAUUUGACCCUUUACUUUCAACUUUGUGAUACACUUUCAAAGAGUCGGAUUGUUUGGGAAUGCAGUCCAAAAUGGGUGGUAAAUUUCAUCUAAAGCUAAAUAUUGGCGAGAGACCGAUAGCGAACAAGUACCGUGAGGGAAAGAUGAAAAGAACUUUGAAAAGAGAGUUAAACAGUACGUGAAAGUUGUCAAAAGGGAAGCGUUUGACACCAGUGUUGUUUUUUCUGAAAAUCAAUUAAAGAACUGUUUAUGCUAAGUUGUUUAGACUUUAUCAGCUAACUGUUUAGUUUUGAGCUUUUCUUUAAUGCACUUUUCAGUUAACAAGUCAACAUCAAUUUCUUUUGCUGUAAAAAAGCUUGAGGAAGGUGGCUUGAGAUUCGUCUUAAGUGUUUAUAGCCUCUUGCCUAUGCAGUCGGAGAGAUUGAGGUCUGCAGCGUAGAUCCUUCGGGGCUAAAUGCAUUUGUGCUAAGUUAUAGCAUUUUAUAGACAACUUGUUGACUAUGAUUUGUCUUGUAGCUUACUCGCUUAUGUUAUUUUACCUACGCUUAGGAUGUUGACACACGCGCGUGCUCG
rnacentral:rRNA from 1 species